ensembl:lncRNA
AAUUUUGCUUAUCUGUUUAAUAGAAAUAUGUAAGAGAGGUUUCUCAAUUUCUUUUGUCAGUCUCUGACCUUUGCUGUUGCUGUUACCUUUUCAUGAGGAGUCCACAUGUGGAAGGCAACACAACUGAGGCUGAAAAGGUUAUCCUGUUGCAUUGUAAACAACCACUGAACCUUCAGAAGAGAUUUCUCAUCUGGGCAGUUUUGCUGGCUAUGUGUCUUGGAUGAACUGUUUCUUCCGUACACCAUUGCUGACCAUAAAGGACAACAGCUCCAGGAAGAAGGGUGACUACAUAACAUGAAAGACAUGAUCACAGCAGCUGGAACACAGAAGACACCCGUAUUUAGUCCUGUUAUCAUCCAAGCUGGCCAGUUUAUUCCAGGUAUGUUUGUAUGUAAGCUACAAUCCUCUGAAAACAUAUAAAACUGCUCAGCUUAAAAGCCUGGAAAUCAAAUGAAAAAAUUAUUCUGGUGACCUUACUUCCUUGUAUGACGAACAUGAUGGCAUCUAAAACCAGUUUUAGUGUGCUGGAGCAGAGCCUGAAGCUGGCAGAAGAGUACAGCUUUGGCUUCAGUUGCUGAGAUGCCAGAAGAGAUUGUAAGUCCUUGAAAUUCUUCCAAGAAGUCACUUUGUCCUGGAUGAAAACUGGCAUUUAUCAGUGCAGAUGAUAGUGGUGUAUUUUAGAUGGCAUCAAUAUUGAUUUGUAUACUGCACGAGCUUUUAAAUAUGAUUUAAGAUAAAGCUUAGCUUAACGUAAGACAUUUCUCCACAAAGCAUUGAUUUAAUGUUAAUGUUUUAUGUCUUGCUUUCUUUGCUAUAGACUUUCCUUUGGUUCAUGGAGACUUCCCAAGUAUCCUUCUCAGCUCCCUCUUUCAGGCACUUGCAAAAGCCCAACAAACACUUGACACGUGAGUAAGUAUUCAAAAGUUUAAUUUAUACUAUCUGACAGGCAGCUUCAAAAGCAAUUACUUAAUGGUGGUCAUUAUUGCUUAUCUCAAAUUCAUUAUUACAGUUCUAGUUGCUUCGACUUGGCUUAUUGUUUUCCCAAGCCUUAUGGGAAAAAGAGCUAACUUGGUGAAGAUGUAACAGAAAAUUUUAAAUAGGUGAGUUCGUUUACCAUUCCAAUAAGGCAAUGUCUCGUACUUUGUCUUUUAAAAUGCUGGGUAUUGUAAUUAGAGUCCUUACUAAUCUAGAGAGAGAAUUUCCUAUUUGACUUCUAUUUAAAUAAUAGCAAUUCUUUCUAGGUGCAACAGCAGUGAGUGCCCAUCCACUCUGUGUGUCUACUUGACCUUGCUUGGGCGUUUCAGAGUGUGAAGGCUGGGGAAGCCGAACGCUGUAGCUGCUGCUGAUCUGUGUCUGAAUCCUGACGAUCAGAUCUCUGGAGCAGCGCGGCUGUGUGGAAGCAGCAGCAGCCUUCGGGAGAGGAGUACAAAACAUCUCCUGGGCAGGUUGAAGAUGCCCUGACAGGAGAGGCGCUGGGAGAGGGGCAGGGUUUGUUUCAGCCGGCAUCGCGGUGGCCCCUGCGGAGGCUGCGCGGGCGCGGUGCCCGCCCG